UGGUAAGUUUAAUUUUCUACAGGUUGAUGUUGCUAGACAAAUCCUUCAUAGAAUUAUUACCAAAAGGGAAGGGUUCUCUUGGACAACUAGAGGAGGCAUGGUUGCUAUCCGUGUAGAAGCUUUGUCAGGAUUCACUAAUUCUAUACUCAGCCCUUAUGUCCUUCCAGAGGUUUCACUGAAUGAUCCUAUUGAGAAGUAUAUGACAGCAUUUGAAGAAGCUGAUCCAUUACCUGCUAGCUUGAAAUUGGACAAAGUUAUU